GGCCCUGACCUGAUAAAAUCAUUCCAGGCCAAGAGCCUGUUCUGUAAUUCCUUGUUCAGUCUUUCCUUUAAGCAAUGUCUUCUCCUCCUGAACCAGAGCGCACUCUCACUGCUAUGGGCAAAGCAAGUGUUUUUCCCUGGUUCAAAACCCCUUUGUGAUGCUCUGGCCCUUCUCAGAAGAAAUUCUGAAUCAUUAUUCUUUCAGCAAAAAGCAUAUCAGAGGAGGAACCACUGCCCCUUGGAUUCAGCACAGCUGCUCCGGCACAUAGCUCUGGCUGAUUGUACUGAAGGGUCGGGCACUUCGCCACCUCAUGCAGUUUUGACAGAAAAAGGUGAUGAUGUUUGCCAGAAAGAGAAACAUGCAGGAGGGACAGAAUUGGAAGACAUAGCCAACAUCAAGGCAGGCCCACUGGAGCAGUCGUGCUAUCUCAGAAAUGGGGCAGGAAUGUGGUCCAGACACUUCAGUUGCCACCUGACCCUCUGUGUCCCGCUUGUUGGAGAAGUAAGGAGCAUUGUUUCCUGUAUGCCCAAGGCACGAAUGUCAAAACCUUGCUGAUAAAUCAUCUCUCAGGUGGGCCUUAGUGUACAGAUAGACACACAGGUGGGAUAGGGCACCAGAUCCCUCUGCUGUCCAUGCCAUGCAGCUGUGAACUCCAGUAAGCUCAGAGGAAAGUUCCCCUCACUUUAGGAAAAAGUGCUUGUAAUUCAUUCACUUCCUCACACUGUGCUGGGGCCUUGUUCAGGCCUAGCAGCCUGAAAAGUGGCCUCCUGGCUGCUUCCCAGCUCCCUGUGCUGUGGCAGAGCUGAACUGGAGCUCUUCAAGCCUUAUGGAGUCCAUAGGCACAAGAAAAAAUAGCCCAUUGAACCACCAUGGCUCAGGCAAAUCGAUUUCUAUAAUUAGGUCACAGUGGACUUUCAGAGACCUCUGCUGAGUGAUCAGGGGCAUGCAUACAGCUGGGUUCACAAAGAAGCUCUGCACUAGUCCAAGGCAAGAACUGAAUUCAACACUCUAACUUUGGAAUGAGGGAUUUUAACCCCUCUGCCUCCACACUCUUACACCACCUUCCACUGACUUAAAGCUGCAUCCAGACCUUGCCCAGUGGUGCUUGAAGGGGAACUGAGGGUUACGAUUCCCCUGUGAGGGAACAUUUUCCUAUGUGAGUUUUAUACAAUGCAUGUGGUAGACCACAUUUUCAUUCCUGAGUCACCAAGAAAUGAGGAAAACCACGCAACUGUCAGAGCUGUGCAAUAUUUCAUGGCAGGGCAGCAGCACAGGACCCAACAUGUGUGUCCUUGUUGCUCUGCCAGCGUGGCAUCCCCCUGAUCAAAGCUACAUCAUCCCAGCAAGUGCCACUGGGCUGCAGUGAGCUGGGGCAGGACAAGCAUGCCAGGUGAAUCGCCACAACUCCAGUGACCCAUCAGGGAUCCACAACACCUCGCUCCCUGCCCAGCAGACCUUGGGUCUCGUGUAAUGUUUAUGCCCCCGAAUCCUCCCAGCGUUGCCUUGUUUUUUCCAUUUCCUCCACCACCCACCAUUUCCCUCCUGAGUCCUUCCC
ensembl:lncRNA